rnacentral:rRNA from 1 species
AUGAAAAUCAUCAGCUAGAACUGCAGGGGGUUAGGGAAUGGCCCGGCAGUUCGUUCUCUUCUCGAGCUGGGAAGAGUAGAGGAGCCCGAUGUUCUGUUCCUGUGUGAAACAAGGUUGAGUGAGAAGGAGUUGCAAACGUUUAGAUGGCUGUUGGGUCUUACAAACAUGGUAGCAUGGAAGGGAGAGGGGAAGCGGACGAGGAGUAGCGUUGUUUUGGAGGAGAGAAGUAGAUGUCACCUUACGUUCCUAUGGGAGGAGGCAUGUUGA